rnacentral:rRNA from 1 species
CAGCCGCCACGGAAUACGUAGGGGGCGAGCGUUGUCCGAAGUUACUGGGCGUAAAGCGCGCGUAGGCGGUCUUUUAAGUCUGGGGUGAAAGGUUCACGGCUCAACCGGAACAGUGCCUUGGAUACUGGGAGACUUGAAUCUGGCAGAGGAUAGUGGAAUUCCUGGUGUAGCGGUGAAAUGCGUAGAUAUCAGGAGGAACACCGAUGGCGAAGGCAGCUAUCUGGGCUAAGAUUGACGCUGAGGUGCGAAAGCGUGGGGAGCAAACGGGAUUAGAUACCCCAGUAGUCCCUGUCUCUUAUAC